AUGGCAGCACAUAUACUAAAACUGGAACAAUACAAAGAUUGGCACAGUCCCUGAGCAAAGAUGACCUGCAAAUUUGUGAAGUGACUCAUCUAGAA
rnacentral:snRNA from 1 species